rnacentral:tRNA from 1 species
ACCUGGGUAGCCCAGUGGGUUGAGCGUCUGACUUCAGCUCAGGUGAUGAUCUUGCGGUCAGUGGCUUCAAGUCCCGCAUCAGGUU